UACGGAGGGAGCGAGCGGUAAUCGGAAUUACGGGGCGUAAAGCGCGCGUCGGCGGUUUGUUGAGUCGGAUGUGAAAUCCCCGGGCUCAACCUGGGAACUGCACCCGAUACUGGCCGACUUGAGUGCGAGAGAGGGAGGUAGAAUUCCACGUGUAGCGGUGAAAUGCGUAGAUAUGUGGAGGAAUACCGGUGGCGAAGGCGGCCUCCUGGCUCGACACUGACGCUGAGGUGCGAAAGCGUCGGGAGCAAACAGG
rnacentral:rRNA from 1 species